GGAAAAUGUAUGGAACCCAAAAUAGAAAAGAUUUGGCCUUUGAAUACCAAUCUCAAAUUCAGAUUUUGAGGCCAAGUAUUCAUUCCAGAAGGGCAAAUAUUACUGUGAAAUUCCAAGAUCUAUAUGGGUUUACAGUGGAAGGCAAUGUUGAUGAUGUAAAUGUGUUGAAUGAGGUCAGGGAGAAGGUUAGGGAACAGGGUAAGGUGUGGUGGGCAUUAGAAGCUAGCAAAGGUGUAAAUUGGUAUUUGCAAACACAAGUUACAUCAACCCUUAAAACAUCCCUUAAACUCUCUACUUUGGUGAAUGCAAUUACUCUCA
rnacentral:misc_RNA from 1 species